GACGAACUCUGGCGGCGUGCUUAACACAUGCAAGUCGAACGGGAUGAUUUAGAAGCUUGCUUUUAGAGAAUCUAGUGGCAAACGGGUGAGUAACACGUAGACAACCUGCCGACAGGAUGGGGACAACAUUCCGAAAGGAAUGCUAAUACCGAAUGAAGUCAGAGGAGGGCAUCCUCCUCUGAUGAAAGAUGGCCUCUGAAUAUGCUAUCACCUGUUGAUGGGUCUGCGUCUGAUUAGCUAGUUGGUGAGGUAACGGCUCACCAAGGCGACGAUCAGUAGCCGGUCUGAGAGGAUGAACGGCCACAUUGGGACUGAGACACGGCCCAGACUCCUACGGGAGGCAGCAGUGGGGAAUCUUCCGCAAUGGGCGCAAGCCUGACGGAGCAACGCCGCGUGAGUGAAGAAGGUCUUCGGAUCGUAAAGCUCUGUUGACGGGGACGAACGUGCGGGGUGCGAAUAGCGCUUUGUAAUGACGGUACCUGUCGAGGAAGCCACGGCUAACUACGUG
rnacentral:rRNA from 1 species